rnacentral:rRNA from 1 species
UACAGAGGGGCAAGCGUUAUUCGGAAUUAUUGGGCGUAAAGGGCGCGUAGGCGGCCUGACAAGUGGAAGGUGAAAUCCCUCGGCUCAACUGAGGAGCUGCCCUCCAAACUGUUUGGCUUGAGACCGGGAGAGGUGAGUGGAAUUCCCAGUGUAGCGGUGAAAUGCGCAGAUAUCAGGAGGAACACCGAUGGCGAAGGCAGGUCUCUGGGCAUUAACUGACGCUGAGGAGCGAAAGCAUGGGGAGCGAACAGG